AUGAGCUGUCCAUGGCGGCUCUGCAGAGACACAAAGGAUGGGGCUGGGGCCGUGUCCUUCACACUGUCCCCAUGCACCCAUUAUGUCCUCCAGAUGAGGCUCCUGGCAGGUCCCCAGGGACAGAGCAGUCUCCGGCUCUGGCUCGGGGCCCACAGUGAGCUCAGCUCCUUCCCACUCCUGGGCUCCGCUCCAUGUGGACUCUGCAGAACAAGGCCACCUCUGGAGCCUGGAACCCACAUCUGCAUCCCUAAGGACCACAUAAGGAACGGAGCCCAAGUGGCUGAGCUUAUAACCGGGUUUCCAGAGAUCCCUGCACCAGCUGCUGCCUGGACUCCUGAGGCCCGCAGAGCCUUUCUGAAUGUGGCUCAGACCUCAGACCAGCCGGAUCCUGAGACCUGGAAACCACCACCACCACCACCACUACCACCCACCUGCUGAGACCCGAGUGCCUCAGCUCCUGGGACCACGGGGAAGAACAUGUUCCUGAGCUUUUUGAGUCUCUCCACAAAAUAUUUCCUGGUGCCUGUCUGAGACUAAAAACCUAUUAAAGUCAUAAACUUCUCCUGCGGACUCUUCUCAAAAG
rnacentral:lncRNA from 1 species